rnacentral:lncRNA from 1 species
UUUUUUAGAUAUUUGAUAAAUACAUUUAUUGAGCAUAUACCAUGCUUCCUUAAAGAGAGAAGGAGGUUAAAUGUAAGGAACACAUAGUAUCUGUCUGGUUACGGAUGUGGUAUUUUCCUUUCAUUUAAUCUCCCUGCUACUUAUCACUGAAGA